rnacentral:lncRNA from 1 species
ACCUUGAAAUACUGAGUGACCGGUGAAUUCUCAGUGAACUCACUCAUUAUUUGACAGGUUGGUUCAUUGAACACAAAACUAUGUAGUGCUGGCUAUGAGAGAUGCAUCUUGCUUAGAGAACUUCUUAUAAAAUAAAAGUAAGAAGUGAAGAUUUUG